AGCUAACGUUGGCGGCGUGCCUAACACAUGCAAGUCGAACGCGUCCCCGCAAGGGGAUGAGUGGCGAACGGGUGAGUAACACGUGGGUCAUCUCCCCUCGAGUGAGGAAUAAGCUCCCGAAAGGGAGUCUAAUACUGCAUAACGCCCCGGGGCAUAAGUCCCGGGUCCAAAGCCGUAAGGCGCUUGAGGAUGAGCCUGCGUCCUAUUAGCUAGUUGGUAGGGUAAUGGCCUACCAAGGCGAAGAUGGGUAGCCGGCCUGAGAGGGUGAACGGCCACACUGGGACUGAGACACGGCCCAGACUCCUACGGAAGGCAGCAGUGAGGAAUUUUGCGCAAUGGGGGAAACCCUGACGCGGCGACGCCGCGUGGAGGAUGAAGGCCUUCGGGUCGUAAACUCCUGUCAGAGGUGAAGAAUACCCGCAAGGGUUUGACGGUAACCUCAAAGGAAGCCCCGGCUAACUACGUGCCAGCAGCCGCGGUAACAC
rnacentral:rRNA from 1 species